CACGUAGUUAGCCGUGGCUUAUUCCUCAGGUACCGUCAUAAUCGUCCCUGAGAAAAGCGGUUUACAACCCGAAGGCCUUCAUCCCGCACGCGGCGUUGCUGCUUCAGGCUUGCGCCCAUUGAGCAAAAUUCCCGACUGCUGCCUCCCGUAGGAGUCUGGGCCGUGUCUCAGUCCCAGUCUGGGUGAUCGUCCUCUCAGACCACCUACCGAUCGUCGCCUUGGUGAGCCAUUACCCCACCAACGAGCUAAUCGGACGCAGGCCCCUCCCAAAGCGCAUUUCUGCUUUGAUCAUCAAAAUGAAUUAACGACCGUAUGCGGUAUUAGCCACCCUUUCGGGCAGUUAUUCCCCACUUCGGGGUAGGUCACCCACGCGUUACUCAGCCGUCCGCCACUAACUUUCAGAGCAAGCCCUGAAAGUCCGUUCGACUUGCAUGUCUAAUGCACGCCGCCAGCGUUUAUCCUGAGCCAGGAUCAAACUCU
rnacentral:rRNA from 1 species